rnacentral:piRNA from 9 species
UGGACUCUGAAUCCAGCGAUCCGAG